CAUAGGUUAAUGAGGCGAACCGGGGGAACUGAAACAUCUAAGUACCCCGAGGAAAAGAAAUCAACCGAGAUUCCCCCAGUAGCGGCGAGCGAACGGGGAGCAGCCCAGAGCCUGAAUCAGUGUGUGUGUUAGUGGAAGCGUCUGGAAAGGCGCGCGAUACAGGGUGACAGCCCCGUACACAAAAAUGCACAUGCUGUGAGCUCGAUGAGUAGGGCGGGACACGUGGUAUCCUGUCUGAAUAUGGGGGGACCAUCCUCCAAGGCUAAAUACUCCUGACUGACCGAUAGUGAACCAGUACCGUGAGGGAAAGGCGAAAAGAACCCCGGCGAGGGGAGUGAAAAAGAACCUGAAACCGUGUACGUACAAGCAGUGGGAGCACGCUUAGGCGUGUGACUGCGUACCUUUUGUAUAAUGGGUCAGCGACUUAUAUUCUGUAGCAAGGUUAACCGAAUAGGGGAGCCGAAGGGAAACCGAGUCUUAACUGGGCGUUAAGUUGCAGGGUAUAGACCCGAAACCCGGUGAUCUAGCCAUGGGCAGGUUGAAGGUUGGGUAACACUAACUGGAGGACCGAACCGACUAAUGUUGAAAAAUUAGCGGAUGACUUGUGGCUGGGGGUGAAAGGCCAAUCAAACCGGGAGAUAGCUGGUUCUCCCCGAAAGCUAUUUAGGUAGCGCCUCGUGAAUUCAUCUCCGGGGGUAGAGCACUGUUUCGGCAAGGGGGUCAUCCCGACUUACCAACCCGAUGCAAACUGCGAAUACCGGAGAAUGUUAUCACGGGAGACACACGGCGGGUGCUAACGUCCGUCGUGAAGAGGGAAACAACCCAGACCGCCAGCUAAGGUCCCAAAGUCAUGGUUAAGUGGGAAACGAUGUGGGAAGGCCCAGACAGCCAGGAUGUUGGCUUAGAAGCAGCCAUCAUUUAAAGAAAGCGUAAUAGCUCACUGGUCGAGUCGGCCUGCGCGGAAGAUGUAACGGGGCUAAACCAUGCACCGAAGCUGCGGCAGCGACGCUGAUGCGUUGUUGGGUAGGGGAGCGUUCUGUAAGCCUGUGAAGGUGUGCUGUGAGGCAUGCUGGAGGUAUCAGAAGUGCGAAUGCUGACAUAAGUAACGAUAAAGCGGGUGAAAAGCCCGCUCGCCGGAAGACCAAGGGUUCCUGUCCAACGUUAAUCGGGGCAGGGUGAGUCGACCCCUAAGGCGAGGCCGAAAGGCGUAGUCGAUGGGAAACAGGUUAAUAUUCCUGUACUUGGUGUUACUGCGAAGGGGGGACGGAGAAGGCUAUGUUGGCCGGGCGACGGUUGUCCCGGUUUAAGCGUGUAGGCUGGUUUUCCAGGCAAAUCCGGAAAAUCAAGGCUGAGGCGUGAUGACGAAGCACUACGGUGCUGAAGCAACAAAUGCCCUGCUUCCAGGAAAAGCCUCUAAGCAUCAGGUAACAUCAAAUCGUACCCCAAACCGACACAGGUGGUCAGGUAGAGAAUACCAAGGCGCUUGAGAGAACUCGGGUGAAGGAACUAGGCAAAAUGGUGCCGUAACUUCGGGAGAAGGCACGCUGAUAUGUAGGUGAGGUCCCUCGCGGAUGGAGCUGAAAUCAGUCGAAGAUACCAGCUGGCUGCAACUGUUUAUUAAAAACACAGCACUGUGCAAACACGAAAGUGGACGUAUACGGUGUGACGCCUGCCCGGUGCCGGAAGGUUAAUUGAUGGGGUUAGCGGUAA
rnacentral:rRNA from 1 species